UUACGGCCAUAUAGCAUCGAAAUACCUGUUCGAUUACCGAAGUUAAGCAACGUCGAGCCUGGUCAGUAUCUAGAUGGGUGACCUCGUGGGAAUACCAGGUGCUGUAAG